rnacentral:rRNA from 1 species
CCUACGGGAGGCAGCAGUGAGGAAUAUUGGUCAAUGGACGAGAGUCUGAACCAGCCAAGUAGCGUGAAGGAUGACUGCCUUAUGGGUUGUAAACUUCUUUUAUAUGGGAAUAAAAUGUUCCACGUGUGGGAUUUUGUAUGUACCAUAUGAAUAAGGAACGGAUAACUCCGUGCCAGCAGCCGCGGUAAUACGGAGGAUCCGAGCGUUAUCCGGAUUUAUUGGGUUUAAAGGGAGCGUAGGUGGAGUGUUAAGUCAGUUGUGAAAGUUUGCGGCUCAACCGUAAAAUUGCAGUUGAAAAUGGCAGUCUUGAGUACAGUAGAGGUGGGCGGAAUUCGUGGUGUAGCGGUGAAAUGCUUAGAUAUCACGAAGAACUCCGAUUGCGAAGGCAGUUCACUGGACUGCAACUGACACUGAGGCUCGAAAGUGUGGGUAUCAAACAGGAUUAGAUACCCGAGUAGUC